AGAGAAGUCAGGUGGUGGUAGUACACACCCUUAAUCCGGUUUUAAGGGGAAAAUGAUGAAUUCUCUUUGAAAAAAAGUAAUUUAAAAUCUCCGAGGCUGUCCACCUAUAUUUUAGGUAAGUAGAGAUCUAUGAGAAAUAUCAGGAAAAAAGUGCUUGGAUGAAUAUGUAGAAUUAAGAAACCAUGGGCAGACAUUAAUUGAGAGGACAGGAAUGGAGGUUAUUACCCUAAGCAAGUCAACAAAGAGAAGAACGUGGAAGAAGAAAGGGGC